UACGUAGGUCCCGAGCGUUGUCCGGAUUUAUUGAGCGUAAAGCGAGCGCAGGUGGUUUAUUAAGUCUGGUGUAAAAGGCAGUGGCUCAACCAUUGUAUGCAUUGGAAACUGGUAGACUUGAGUGCAGGAGAGGAGAGUGGAAUUCCAUGUGUAGCGGUGAAAUGCGUAGAUAUAUGGAGGAACACCGGUGGCGAAAGCGGCUCUCUGGCCUGUAACUGACACUGAGGCUCGAAAGCGUGAGGAGCAAACAGG
rnacentral:rRNA from 1 species